AUUGAACGCUGGCGGCAGGCCUAACACAUGCAAGUCGAGCGCGCGGCGGACGGGUGAGUAAUGUCUGUGAAACUGCCUGAUGGAGGGGGAUAACUACUGGAAACGCUAGCUAAUACCGCAUACCCUCGGAUGUGCGCCGAUGGGAUUAGCUAGUAGGUGGGGUAACGGCUCACCUAGGCGACGUUCCCUAGCUGGUCUGUGAGGAUGACCAGCCACACUGGAACUGAGACACGGUCCAGACUCCUACGGGAGGCAGCAGUGGGGAAUAUGGCACAAUGGGCGAAAGCCUGAUGCAGCCAUGCCGCGUGUAUGAAGAAGGCCUUCGGGUUGUAAAGUACUUUCAGCGGGGAGGCGUUACCCGCAGAAGAAGCACCGGCUAACUCCGUGCCAGCAGCCGCGGUAAUAC
rnacentral:rRNA from 1 species